AGAAAAUAAAUUAUGCCGGACAUCCGGCGCAUAAAGUACAUCAUAAAGGAUCAAUGCUGAGCAUCCUCGCAUUUCCAGUUUGUAAGUGCCAAUGCCUAGCACAUCCACACUGGAAUCGUUCCCAAUGAAUACUUUUCUGCCAGCCGGAACUCGGCGGUAUUCCACAUAUCCACUCCGAUCUCUAGCUAUGUGGUCCGUUGCUCCGGAG
rnacentral:lncRNA from 1 species